AACGAACGCUGGCGGCAGGCUUAACACAUGCAAGUCGAGCGCCCCGCAAGGGGAGCGACAGACGGGUGAGUAACGCGUGGGAAUCUACCCAUCUCUACGGAAUAACGCAUGGAAACGUGUGCUAAUACCGUAUACGUCCUUCGGGAGAAAGAUUUAUCGGAGAUGGAUGAGCCCGCGUUGGAUUAGCUAGUUGGUGGGGUAAAGGCCUACCAAGGCGACGAUCCAUAGCUGGUCUGAGAGGAUGAUCAGCCACACUGGGACUGAGACACGGCCCAGACUCCUACGGGAGGCAGCAGUGGGGAAUAUUGGACAAUGGGCGCAAGCCUGGUCCAGCCAUGCCGCGUGAGUGAUGAAGGCCCUAGGGUUGUAAAGCUCUUUCACCGGUGAAGAUAAUGACGGUAACCGGAGAAGAAGCCCCGGCUAACUUCGUGCCAGCCGCCGCGGUAAAAC
rnacentral:rRNA from 1 species